rnacentral:rRNA from 1 species
AUGGCUCAGAUUGAACGCUGGCGGCAGGCCUAACACAUGCAAGUCGAGCGGUAACACAGGAGAGCUUGCUCUCUGGGUGACGAGCGGCGGACGGGUGAGUAAUGUCUGGGAAACUGCCCGAUGGAGGGGGAUAACUACUGGAAACGGUAGCUAAUACCGCAUAACGUCUUCGGACCAAAGAGGGGGACCUUCGGGCCUCUUGCCAUCGGAUGUGCCCAGAUGGGAUUAGCUAGUAGGUGGGGUAAUGGCUCACCUAGGCGACGAUCCCUAGCUGGUCUGAGAGGAUGACCAGCCACACUGGAACUGAGACACGGUCCAGACUCCUACGGGAGGCAGCAGUGGGGAAUAUUGCACAAUGGGCGCAAGCCUGAUGCAGCCAUGCCGCGUGUAUGAAGAAGGCCUUCGGGUUGUAAAGUACUUUCAGCGAGGAGGAAGGCAUUAAGGUUAAUAACCUUAGUGAUUGACGUUACUCGCAGAAGAAGCACCGGCUAACUCCGUGCCAGCAGCCGCGGUAAUACGGAGGGUGCAAGCGUUAAUCGGAAUUACUGGGCGUAAAGCGCACGCAGGCGGUCUGUCAAGUCGGAUGUGAAAUCCCCGGGCUCAACCUGGGAACUGCAUUCGAAACUGGCAGGCUAGAGUCUUGUAGAGGGGGGUAGAAUUCCAGGUGUAGCGGUGAAAUGCGUAGAGAUCUGGAGGAAUACCGGUGGCGAAGGCGGCCCCCUGGACAAAGACUGACGC